GUACUUGCUUCAGCAGCACAUAUACUAAAAUUGGAAGGAUACAGAGAAAUUAGCAUGGCCCCUACGCAAGGAUGACACGUAAAAAUGGAUAUUAUAUAAGAAACUAAU